rnacentral:tRNA from 1 species
CCUCUCGUGGCGUAGGGGUAACGCGCCCUAUCUAGAGAACAAAGAGUCGUGAGUUCGAUUCUCACCGAGAAGA